rnacentral:rRNA from 1 species
GGGGGGGGGGGGGGGGGGGCGUGGGGGGUGCGAGUCGGGCGGGGGCGCGGUAGGGGCUUGCGCGUCCGGGGGGGGGGUGGCGGGCGGGUGGGGGAGACAUCGGGACCUACGUGUUCGUGGGGGCUAACGGCGGUACACUUCCGCUAAUACCGCUGACGACCUACGUGUGGACUCAGGGGAUCUUCGGACCUUGCGCGAUGGAUUGGGCCGACUUCGGAGUAGCUCGGUGGGGGGGUGAAGGCCCACCAAGGCUACGAUCCGUAGCUGGUCUUAGAGGAUGAUCAGCCACACUGGAACUGAGACACGGUCCAGACGCCUACGGGAGGCAGCAGUGGGGAAUAUUGGACAAUGGGUGCAAGACUGAUCCAGCCAUACCGCGUGGGUGAAGAAGGCCUUCGGGUUGUAAAGCCCUUUUGUUGGGAAAGAAAAGCAGCAGGUUAAUACCCCGCUGUUCUGACGGUACCCAAAGAAUAAGCACCGGCUAACUUCGUG